rnacentral:rRNA from 1 species
CACGUAGGGGGCAAGCGUUGUCCGGAUUUAUUGGGCGUAAAGAGCUCGUAGGUGGUUCGGUAAGUCGGGUGUUAAACCCCCAGGCUCAACCUGGGGACGCCACUCGAUACUGCUGUGACUAGAGUCCGGUAGGGGAGCGUGGAAUUCCUGGUGUAGCGGUGAAAUGCGCAGAUAUCGGGAGGAACACCUAUGGCGAAGGCAGCUCGCUGGGACGUUACUGACGCUGAGACGCGAAAGCGUGGGGAGCAAACAGG